CCUAAGAGAUACGUGUUAUGUGAAGUGCUCACACAGAUUGUCUGAUGAAGAACGAGCAAAAGCGCGUCUGCGAAGCUGACAGAAGUCCCCUUCGUCUAGAGGCCUAGGACACCGCCCUUUCACGGCGGUAACAGGGGUUCGAAUCCCCUAUGGGACGCCAAUGCGCGGUAUGAGUGAAAGGCGUACCACUUAUCUGACGAGAGUCAGAGAAUAAAUAAGCUAAUUCAAAUGAGUUAUCUUACUUAUUAUGCUCUUUAACAAUCUGGAACAAGCUGAAAAAUUGAAAACAAAUCAAUAUAUCACCGAGGUAUAUUGAUGAGUCUCUCAAAAUCUCAAACCUUAAAGUUUGUCACGCAAAGUUUAUCUUUGAAAGAGACACUUUCGGGUUGUGA
rnacentral:misc_RNA from 1 species